CCCGCAGCCGGUGCCCGCCUCGACAGCCCCUCUGGCCCACCCUCCCUGCCCUUUGCUGCUCCCCCUGUCGCCUCUGCCUCGCUGCUGAUCGGAGCUCCGUUUCUGCAGGACAGAUGCGAUGGGUGAAUUAACCCAGGCUGAAAUAGAGCUUCUCACGGCUUUUCCUCUCCUUAACAACUGCGUUCUUAAAGGAAAAAGACCAUAUCCUGCCGGUUUCUUUCAGUACUGAAGAUACAAGGAUCGCUUCUGGGUGUGGAAGUGGUGGUUCAGUAACCACAAGAGAAACACCCACCCAACAGCUAUGUAACUCCAGAGCAGCUGCAGUGAAACACAACAGCAGCUGAGGAGGAACAGCUCUGUUCCAGACUUUAUGAUGUACCCCGAAGCAGUCGGUCCCAGAGAUGUGCAGUCCCUUUGCAUUUAUAUCCACAUCAAAAUUCACGGACUUUGAGAGUGGCAGCUCAUCCUGACUGCCUUUUGGCAGCAUCGCUGCAGCCGUUUUUGUGGUAUCUGUAGGUUAAGCCAUGCUUUGUAAGGAAGCUGCUUCCUUCUGACGCUGGUAUGAAGCAAAACGAUUAACCUGCACCACGGGAGCUCGUGUGCCACAUCACAGCCAGAGAACGACCAGCGCUGAAGGUUCCCUAUGGCUCCAAUUCUCAGAGCAGCGUCCCCACGACAGUUCCUGAUUCCCACCCCCAGGACACGGCCAAGACUUCCCUGCUCGCCUCCAGCAGAUGCCCUCUCCGCAGGGCUGCUCCCCGAGCACAGAACCCGGCUGUGGCACCAAAGCCCACAGCAGCAGAAAUAAGCACCGACUGCUGGGCAGACGGAUCCAACUCACUCAGCUUUUUUUUACCGUUGCUGCAAAGAAAUCCUGGAGUAUCCCCUGGCCCAGCAGGGUGUCCCAGGCUGCAGGCAGCUGUCUGCCCUGCCCACCGCAGUUUCCUCUUGCCUCACCAUCACUUAUCAGUGCAUUUAGCAUUCUUCAGAUCCUGACAGCCCUAUGCCUCUCCCUCCCCACCUCCCUGCAUCCCUCGUGUUCCCACCGCUAUUAGCCGUGCCUUUAUUCUCUUGGCUCUUUUUUUUACUCUCAUCAGACACCUCGAGGAGAGCAGUUUUCCUGGAACACGGCUUACUGAAACAGGAGGUUUUGCUUCAUUAUCUGAGCAAGCAAAGGAGCCGGGAGCCCUUUACGUGCUUUCUGUUAAGAAGUGAGAACGUGGCGAUGUUCCUGCGAAGCCCACAAGAUAUUGCCUCGGUGGUGUUCCGCAUUUCGAACUUGUCCACGCUUGCCCAAUUGUAAUUGUGUAACGCCAUUAAACACACUGUUACCAUAUAGUCAUUGGCCAGAGGAAAAGGCAGCACUGUGCUCCUGAACCCAGCUGUGCAGGAGAUACUGUCAAUACAUAGCACCGACAUUAAAAGAAAAGAAAAACAAACAAACAAAAAAAUGCAAAUGGAUUUGGGAGGACUUCUACUAAUUUUCAGUCGGUUUCUGCCUGAGCUGUUACGCUGUAGAUGUUGCAAGCAGGUUAAGGGAGGAUCUACAAAUGCAUGAGUUUUAGCCAUUAAAAUCAAGAGCUAUGGACAUGUCCUGAUUUAUUUCCAUGCACACAAAGACCAAAGAGACGGUUGUAAGUGCUGAGGCAAGUAACAUUUCAUAGCACUAGGUACUGCACAAGCAAGUCAUAAAUAACCAUCCCUGUACUAUGGACCUCGCAGGCUGAGAGGAAGCCUUGCACUCACAGCCCCAUCCAUUAACAAUGUUGACCUUGAAGUAGUCCUGACAGCAAGGCUGCAGAGGAGCCAAGCAGCAGAACAUUUGCAAGUAGUUGCACUCAAGCGGAAAGACAACCCUCCGGCACGUCCGACCCAGGAUCGCCUACUGCUGCACAACUGUGCCGUGCCGCGCAGCCAAGCGCGGUACCUCUGGGAGGGCAGCU
ensembl:lncRNA